rnacentral:lncRNA from 1 species
UUUUAAUCAGUGUUGAGAUUCAACGAGCUAACGUAUGCACAGCACCCUCCAUGUGAGUUCAAUGUUAAAAAAGGAAAUGGUUCAAUGAUACAAAUGUUGAAUGGUGAGCAUAUUUUUGCUGAAAAUUUUGCGGCUCCUGAAAAAGCACCCCUCGCUAGUUAAAGGAAUUCUGAAGGAAGAGCCAUAAGAGCUCAGGGACUCUGGAAAUAUUUGUUGAAUGAAGGAGGUAACAAGAGGAAGCACAAUGAUACGGCGAAAGAGCACAGGAUAUUUAUUCAAGUGAUCUGAGUGCCUGCUCUGCCAUGCACAACCCAUGUGACACUGGGCAAGUCUGUUUUCUCCACUCUAACCUGAGACUGAUAGCCCUGUCUGUCUCCCACAGUCACUGUGGGGAACAGGUGAGAUCUGUGAAGGAGUUCUUUCUAAACUGUGAGGUCUGAUUGAAUAUGCUUUAUAGUAAUGGGAGUAAAAACCUGGAAACAACUCAGAUAUUCCUCCAGGGGCGAACGCUUACAUGACUGCAGUGCAUCCACACGUGGGGUACCACCCAGCCAGGACAGGGAACGGACUGUCGAUACUCAGCCACUUGCAUGAAUCUCAAGGGAAUUGUGCUGAGUAAGAGCAGCCAAUCCCUGAAGCUCAGUGCCUUGUGAUUGCAUUGAUUUAACACUAUUGAAAUGACAAAGCAGAAAGCGGAUUAGAGGUCUCCAGGAGUUAAUGGGUGAGUGGGGGCGACACAAGGACAACCUGGGGGAUCCCUGGGGUGGCUGAAAUGUCCUGUAUCUUGGCUGCUCAGUGUCCACAUUCUGGUUGUGAUUUGGACUAUAGUUUCUCAAGAUGACAUCUGGGGAAACUGAGUAAGGUCUCUGUAAUAUUGCUUACAACUACACAUGAAUCUGCAAUCAUCUCAAAAUUAAAACUUUAAUUUAAAAAAAAUUGUUGCUAUUUAUUUGGGUCUGAAGCUCAUAAAAUAGCAACUUAUGUUUACUGAUGGCUCAGAUCACUCUAGUUUAUCUGUUUAGCUCGUUUACUCUUGUGUGGUACCAAUUGGCCUAUUUUACAGAUGAUAAAACUGAGCACUGGAAAUAUUAAGACCACAAAAAUGGUGUGUUGCAUUGCUGGGGUUUGGAGCCCCACGGUCCGCUCAGGUAAGGACAGUAUGGCAUGGUCAGGAUUUGAACUGGGCGGGGCUUACUCCUCAAACCACCUUUAGGUGUAGUUAAUUAGGUGCGGAGAUCACCAGCAAUGAGAAGACUAAUUAAAGGUCACUGUUCAGAAUUCUUUUGGGGAUGAUGAAACGUUCUGGAAUUAGACAGUGGUUAUGGUUGUACAUAUCUGAGGAUAUAUUAAAAACCCCACAGAAUUGUACACUACAAAAGAGUGAAUUUCAUGGUAUGCGAAUUAUAUCUCAAUUUUAACACCCCCUCCCCCCCAAAAAAAGUUCUCGCGGUCUGGAAGUAAGAGAUGGACCUGUGACGGUAGUGGCAGUGGUAAGGAAAUCUCUAAGGCAGAAUUAACUUACUAAAUAAAAGUGGAGACUAUGGCAAAGACAUCGAAGAUUCCUGAGGUUCUGAGCCUGGUGACAAGAAGAGAGGGGAAGGAGGCCCAGGAGGCGGUAUAGAUGUGUGGAGCGUGAGAUGACAGCAGGCUCUCCCGGGACCUCUAGGAGGUGACUUGCGGGCCCGGCGUCUGGAGGAGAAGUCACAGAGGUUUGGGAUUCAGAAGUAGACGAGGUGUCUCCAGGAGACAGGAUCAAGGCAGGAGAUGAGUUAUUAGGAGGAGGCAGGGUGGGAGGAAUUAAUCUCUACCAGAAAAAUAAGAAAUCAGCAUGUGAAAUCUGCCAUCUCUGACAACACACUGAAGUCACAGCUUUUUUCUCUCCUUCAAAGGCGAAACCAGAUCCAGUGAGAGAUGAACGUGACUGAGAAGAGCAGGAGCCUAGCAGCCUAGGAAUGGCCUGUCCUGACACUCUUUUGGAGAGCGUGGGCACAAGAAGUCAGCUGUUCCCCACAAAAGAGAAGAACCAGCCUGGGUGACCGAGGAUAUGGCACAAACCUGCCCACCAGGAAAUUCCAAGUUGCCGUUAGUUGGCCCUGCCUUCCAACAGGAGCAUGAGCAGAAAGGCCUUCUUGUACCUGAUCCACACAUCAGACUUCCAGCAUCAUACCCAUCUCCCCGUCUGACUGCCCAGACUCUGUGUACCACCUAAGACAAAUUCAAAAUCUGUCCUUGAAUUUGUCCCCAGUGAUAGCCCCAUGCCUAAACUUUGUUUUGUAUACUCCCUCUUUCUUACUCUUCUCUAAAUGUUCCAAAUGUAUAUAUCUUUUCGACUAAUUCGCACAUUUCUUAAAGGCAAGUAAUUCUUACCGUUUUCUAAAACCCUGCAGUGGUUAUCACAGAGCUGGCCACAUGGUAGAAACAAUACUCAACACACUUAUUUAUUGAUAGAUCCCAUAGCAAUCUUUUGGUAUAAUAUCUAUAAUUCAUAUUAAAACAGUUUAGCAUAAACUCUAUGAUAUUAUGCAAUUUCUGGUUAGUUCAAGCUUUAACUCUAGAAAUGUCAGUUGCCAUUUUUGAGAAUCCACAUUCCAGAAAUAUUUGAUUGAUAUCCAAGCGUUGAUAGCCUGUGGUUCCGACACCCAAAUCUUGAGCAAUACCCAAGGCUUUAUUAACAAGUAUAGUGAAUGUCUGAAAAGGGUAUUGAUUAGUAAAAUUUGUUGCUAAUAAAUUAACAUAAUGAAUAUUAGCAUGGGCCUCAAUGAUAAAAAAUAAAGGUGUUCAAGAAGUAUGAGUUGGCCUAAACAUUUUGAAGACACGCCCAACCCUGAACAGAGUCUAUAAACCUGGAGGUAUCCGUGGCCUGGACUCUGCAGGAUGGUGCUCAAGCUUGAUGCAUGAACAGCCCCGUGUCCAGCCACGGCUGUAGGAGCAUCCCGUGCCCGAGGCUGACCUGCAUCAGUACCAGGGCCUGCGUCAGAGCGUUGUGUGUGUGCCUUGGGACCCUUUCACACAAGGUGGGGGCAGAACAUCUAAAAUUUAGGGAGCUGGGACAUCUGCAAACUUACAAAACAGAUCAGAUGUGCUAUUUUG